rnacentral:rRNA from 1 species
ACACAUGCAAGUCGAGGGGCAGCGCGGGAUAGCAAUAUCCUGGCGGCGACCGGCGGAAGGGUGCGUAACGCGUGAGCGACAUGCCCGUUGCCCGGGGACAACCGGUGGAAGCGCCGACUAAUCCCCGAUGGGAUAUUGUGCCGCAUGGCACGAUAUUGAAAGUUACGGCGGCGACGGAUUGGCUCGCGUCCGAUUAGCUUGUUGGCGGGGUAACGGCCCACCAAGGCUACGAUCGGUAGGGGUUCUGAGAGGAAGGCCCCCCACAAUGGGACUGAGACACGGCCCAUACUCCUACGGGAGGCAGCAGUGAGGAAUAUUGGUCAAUGGGCGGAAGCCUGAACCAGCCAUGCCGCGUGCGGGAAGGAGGCCCUAUGGGCUGUGAACCGCUUUUGCCUGGGGGCAAUAAGGGCGUCGCGCACGCCCGAUGAGAGUACCAGGCGAAUAAGCAUCGGCUAACUCCGUGCCAGCAGCCGCGGUAAUACGGGGGAUGCGAGCGUUAUCCGGAUUCAUCGGGUUUAAAGGGUGCGUAGGCUGUGCGUCAAGUCGGGGGUGAAAUUCCGGUGCUCAACACCGGGGCUGCCCUUGAUACUGUCGCGCUGGAGUGCGGAUGCCGCCGGAGGAAUGAGUGGUGUAGCGGUGAAAUGCUUAGAUAUCACUCAGAACACCGAUUGCGAAGGCAUCUGGCGAAUCCGUAACUGACGCUGAGGCACGAAAGCGUGGGGAUAGAACAGGAUUAGAUACCCUGGUAUUCCACGCCGUAAACGAUGAUGGCUAACCGCCGGCGACACACUGUCGGUGGCCAAGCGAAAGCGAUAAGCCAUCCACCUGGGGAGUACG